UACAGGGGGUGCAAACGUUGCUCGGAAUCAUUGGGCGUAAAGCGCACGUAGGCGGUUCGUUAUGUCGGAUGUGAAAGCCCUUGGCUUAACCGAGGAAGUGCAUCCGAAACUGGCGAGCUAGAGUACUAAAGAGGAUCGCGGAAUUCCCGGUGUAGAGGUGAAAUUCGUAGAUAUCGGGAGGAACACCUGUGGCGAAGGCGGCCAUCUGGACGACAAUUGACGCUGAGACGCGAAAGCGUGGGUAGCAAACAGG
rnacentral:rRNA from 1 species